AUUGAACGCUGGCGGCAGGCCUAACACAUGCAAGUCGAGCGAGCGGCGGACGGGUGAGUAAUGUAUGGGGACUGCCCGAUAGAGGGGGAUAACUACUGGAAACGGUGGCUAAUACCGCAGACUGUCGGAUAACUCCUAUGGGAUGAGUUAGUAGGUAAGGUAAUGGCUUACCUAGGCGACGAUCCCUAGCUGGUCUGAGAUGAUGAUCAGCCACACUGGGACGUAGACACGGCCCAGACUCCUACGGAGGCAGCAGUGGGGAAUAUUGCACAAGGGGCGCAAGCCUGAUGCAGCCAUGCCGCGUGUAUGAAGAAGGCCCUAGGGUUGUAAAGUACUUUCAGUCGGGAGGCGUUACCAACAGAAGAAGCACCGGCUAACUCCGUGCCAGCAGCCGCGGUAAUAC
rnacentral:rRNA from 1 species